AUGACAGUGAAACUGGCCGGACCCUGUGACGUACGGCACCGCUGCAGGUGCGAUCUCCAUUGUUACGACAGCCUUGACCAUUUACUGAACCAAGUAGUAGCACAUGCUACUCCCAGCUUACCAAGAAGCACUACUAAUCACAUCCAAGAUGUGCAUACACGCACCACCUCCCCUGGGUACACAGCUGCCGCAGGAGCGCUCAAGGACAGCUUGUGCACGCGGGCACGGCGGCUCAGUAGAGGCAAGCGAGGACGGAGUCCGGCGCAGCUGGCAGCGAUGAGCCGGGUUUCGCCGGUGCGUGGACACAAUGGCGUGCUACUCGGCCAUCGCGGGACGUGGCGCAAAGAGAGCCGGUCGUGA
rnacentral:rRNA from 1 species